ACAAAGAAAAAACAGGUAUUUUGAGCGUACCUAGAGACACAAGCUAUCGUUCCUUCGGACUAUUUUAAUCGCAAAAUACCCUUCGAUUUGUUGUGCAAACUUUUCUUCUAGAAAUCUUGCUCCGAUGUAUCAAGUGUAGCUUAUUAUCUAAAAGGAAAUUUUAUCUCCGUGGUAAUUUAGGGAGACCAUUUUUCGAUUUUCUAAGGAGUUUUCUCAGAAAAUGUGAAAAACCGGUAAAAACAUAGGAAAACCAGGAAAAUCGGUACUAUAUUAAACAAAUAUUAUUAAAGAAAAUAUAUAAUGCACAUUUAAUUAUUUUACUAUAAUAUGACAUAUAUAUUGUUGACAAAGUGUCACUAUCAACUGAACUGCGCUCAGAAUCGUUGUUUCGUUAGCAAUGGUUGAUCGUUGCUUACAGAUAUAUAUUAAAUUACUUAAAACAAUGGCUACACCCGUCUCCAUU